rnacentral:rRNA from 1 species
GACGAACGCUGGCGGCGCGCUUAACACAUGCAAGUCGAGCGAGAACCAGGGCUUCGGCCCUGGGGACAGCGGCGAACGGGUGAGUAACACGUGGAUAACCUGCCCUCGGCACCGGGAUAGCCCGGGGAAACCCGGAUUAAUACCGGAUGGCCCUUCCGGCUUUCGAGCUGGUCGGAAAAGGUAGCUUCGGCCUCCGGCCGAGGAUGGGUCCGCGGCGGAUUAGCUAGUUGGUGGGGUAACGGCCCACCAAGGCGACGAUCCGUAGCUGGUCUGAGAGGACGAUCAGCCACACUGGGACUGAGACACGGCCCAGACUCCUACGGGUGGCAGCAGUGGGGAAUCUUGCGCAAUGGGCGAAAGCCUGACGCAGCGACGCCGCGUGAGGGAGGAGGGCCUUCGGGUUGUAAACCCCUUUCAGUAGGGAACAAGGCCAUGAUUGUUGUUGUGGUUGAGGGUACUUGCAGAAGAAGCGCCGGCUAACUACGUGCCAGCAGCCGCAGUAAAAC